CAAACGGGCCUCUCUGGUGAGUGGUACACACAGGGCAACUUGACUGCUCUUCACGUCCAAUUGGCAUCGAGAGAUUUCAGGAAGCAUAAUUUUUUGGUACCUGGGUAACUGGUGAUCAUUGGUCUCGGUGUCCUU
ensembl:snRNA